CCUACGAGCGGCAGCAGUGAGGAAUAUUGGUCAAUGGCCGGAAGGCUGAACCAGCCAAGUCGCGUGAGGGACGACUGCCCUAUGGGUUGUAAACCUCUUUUAUAAGGGAAGAAUAAAUGCUACGUGUAGCAUGAUGCCUGUACCUUAUGAAUAAGCAUAGGCUAACUCCGUGCCAGCAGCCGCGGUAAUACGGAGGAUGCGAGCGUUAUCCGGAUUGAUUGGGUUUAAAGGGUGCGUAGGCGGUUUUUUAAGUUAGUGGUUAAACGUCGGGGCUUCACCUUGAUUUGCCAUUAAUACUGUAAGACUCGAGUUCAGACGAGGUAGGCGGAAUAAGUUAAGUAGCGGUGAAAUGCUUAGAUAUAACUUAGAACUCCGAUAGCGAAGGCAGCAUACCGGUUCACAACUGACGCUCAGGCACGAAAGCGUGGGUAUCGAACAGGAUUAGAUACCCGGGUAGUC
rnacentral:rRNA from 1 species